rnacentral:rRNA from 1 species
CAGCCGCCGCGGUAAUACGGAGGGAGCUAGCGUUGUUCGGAAUUACUGGGCGUAAAGCGCACGUAGGCGGCUAUUCAAGUCAGAGGUGAAAGCCCGGGGCUCAACCCCGGAACUGCCUUUGAAACUAGAUAGCUUGAAUCCAGGAGAGGUGAGUGGAAUUCCGAGUGUAGAGGUGAAAUUCGUAGAUAUUCGGAAGAACACCAGUGGCGAAGGCGGCUCACUGGACUGGUAUUGACGCUGAGGUGCGAAAGCGUGGGGAGCAAACAGGAUUAGAUACCCCUGUAGUCCCUGUCUCUUAUAC